rnacentral:rRNA from 1 species
GCCUGACGCAGCGACGCCGUGUGGGUGAUGAAGGCCUUCGGGUCGUAAAGCCCUGUCAGGGGGGACGAAAUCUCAACGACCCAAUACGUCGUUGACUUGACGGUACCUCCAAAGGAAGCACCGGCUAACUCCGUGCCAGCAGCCGCGGUAAUACGGAGGGUGCGUAGCGUUGUCGGAAUCACUGGGCGUAAAGCGCGUGUAGGCGGCCUUUUAAGUUUGAUGUGAAAAGCCCGGGGGCACACCCCCCGGAAGUGCAUUGGAUACUGGAAGGCUGGAGUACCGGAGAGGAGGGUGGAAUUCCUGGUGUAGCGGUGAAAUGCGUAGAUAUCAGGAGGAACACCUGUGGCGAAGGCGGCCCUCUGGACGGAUACUGACGCUGAGACGCGAAAGCGUGGGGAGCAAACAGGAUUAGAUACCCUGGUAGUCCACGCCGUAAACGAUGGGCACUAGGUGUUCGGGGUAUUGACCCCCUGAGUGCCGCAGCUAACGCAUUAAGUGCCCCGCCUGGGGACUACGGCCGCAAGGCUA